rnacentral:rRNA from 1 species
CCUACGGGAGGCAGCAGUGGGGAAUAUUGCGCAAUGGGCGAAAGCCUGACGCAGCGACGCCGCGUGAGGGAUGAAGGUCUUCGGAUCGUAAACCUCUGUUAGCAGGGAAGAACGGUCACUGUGCUAAUCAGCAGUGAAUUGACGGUACCUGCAAAGGAAGCAUCGGAUAACUCCGUGACAGCAGCCGCGGUAAUACGGAGGGUGCGAGCGUGAAUAGGAGUUAUUGGGCGUAAAGCGCUCGUAGGCGGUAUGUCAAGUCAAGGGUGAAAUCCCCGCGCUCAACGUGGGAACUGCCUUUGAAACUGGCAAACUGGAGUGUGUGAGAGGAUAGUGGAAUUCCAGGUGUAGGAGUGAAAUCCGUAGAGAUCAGGAGGAACAUCGGUGGCGAAGGCGACUAUCUGGCACAUAACUGACGCUGAGGAGCGAAAGCGUGGGUAGCAAACAGGAUUAGAUACCCGAGUAGUC